AUGCCCCAGGGCCCACGCGAGCCGCUGUCAGCUCAGUCGGAUCGCAGGUGCAGGACCGGCCAGACGGAGAUCACGGCAGCCGAGGGCCCAGGGCCAAGCUUUAAGGUAGCCUGCACCCUGGCUGUUGUCCUGCUCUGCCUACACUCACUCCUGCCGCACACCAAGGUGGCUGGGACUGCAGAUGAACCAGCAAGGUCCGCCGUGUCAUAUCCACAGGCUGCUUCUGUAGCACCACCAUCACCAGCCAAGUUAGGUGGCCUUUUGUCAUGCUUUGAUGAUGGUUUGCUGCCACCAAGGGUCUCUGUGUGUGCCCCUGCCUUUGACUCCGAAGUCCCCUCUCCCUGGAAGGCCAUCCCUGAUCCUCACCAGACUCCAGUUUCCUGACUGUCUGAAUCCCAGGACAGGGGCUGUUUGCCUCAUUCUCCCUCUGGACCUUCAUACUCUGGUAACACUUGCCAAGAUGCUGUUGUUAUCUCGGCUGCAUGUAAGGCAUGUUAAUAGCUAAAUGGAAAUUAACUCUGUGAUGAUCAGUAAAUACUAGGAAGUAGACUUUACUUCCAUUUUAAGUGCCUCCAAUCUACUCUUUAUCUUCCCUAAACUUAGGAGUUAGAUAUUGUUCGCAUUCAACAUGGACUCUGAUUUCUACAUCUUGCCCAGGUCUAGAGAGUCCACAAGAUCUCAGCUUUUCCCUCCUUUUGUGAAAAUAGCGGUGGCUGCGUAGUGUCUCAGGUCACAUGCCAGGCAUAAGCUUCAGGCUCUGUAUUGGAACCAUAGUCCCAAGGCUUGCCAGAGCUGGGGGCAUCCAUCAAUACCUUGUGUGGACGAACAUUUUGCCCUCUUCCAACCAGGCAAUCCACAGGCCAUCUUCAGCACAAUUGCUAGAGGCUUCCCUGGGUCCUGACCACUUCCACAGACUGGCAAGUUUCUUUCUGGAGGCAUCUUGGAAUCCAGCUCUUCUUGUCACUUUUGUUGAAACAUGUGCCUAAGAGGAGCUGUGGUCACCACCACAGGCCAGAGUGAUGCAUAAAGCAGAUGGCCUCUGUCCAGAGAAACGGGACAGGGCGGUCAAGAGAGUGAACUGCUCCUCAGGUGCAUCCUGAGCUUGCUCUGUACCUGGAGCGGGUAGAAAGUGUCACCCUCCAAGUCAGGAGUCUAGAGCUGCUGGCAUCAGCU
rnacentral:lncRNA from 1 species